AGCAAACACUCAAAUCGCCGGCAAAAAUGGCGAGGGAGCGCGACCACCUCUACAUCACCGUCCCCAACCUCUUCCGCUGCCCCAUCUCCAUGGACGUCAUGCGCUCCCCCGUCAGCCUCUGCACCGGCGUCACAUACGACCGCGCCAGCAUCCAGCACUGGCUCGAAUCAGGCCACGACACCUGCCCCGCCACCAUGCAGACUCUCCAAUCCAAGGACGUCAUCCCCAACCUCACUCUCCGCCGUCUAAUCAACCUCUGGGCCCAGUCCCACGGCCCUUCCUCGCCGGCCUCCUCUCCCUCUCUCUCCUCCCAGCACCUGGCCUCCCUCGUCCAAUUCCUCCAAAGCGAUAACCAGAGCGAGAAAUUCAGCCAAAAUAU
rnacentral:lncRNA from 1 species